CUUACUUUGAUUUGCGUUCUAAACAGUUUAGUUACUGUCAACUGUUCAGAAUAUUUCGCUCUGCAUUUUAUUUUGGACUUUCAAAAAGUGUUGAGUAAAUUUUCUCAAGUUGACUGUGAUUUUUGGCAUUAUAUGUAAAAUCGGAAACUGAUACAAACUGAUGAAGUUGAGGACGCACGUUCCGGCGAUGGCAAAGCAAACUACCAUCUACAAUAAUAUCGACGACCCGCUUCCGGACACAGAUGUAUCCCCAGUAGUGCAGGACCAGCAGCUCACGGGCCACAUCCUGGAUCCCGGUGUUAAGCAGCAAGCAGCUUCCGGAACCUAAUUCAAAAUAGAAUGUAAAAAACCCAGCAAAAACCAGAACCUCACACUUACCAAAUGACUUUCGCCGGGGAAACACCUGCACCGCCAGCAUCAUCGCAAUUGAACAAGCCACAAAUGGAAGAACUUUAAUCUAUGGAGAGUAAAAACUAGAACACGAGCAUUUGAGAGAAAAA